GGAUUAGAUACCCUGGUAGUCCAUGCCGUAAACGAUGAGUGCUAGACGUUGGAAAUAUAUUUUUCAGUGUCGCAGCGAAAGCAUUAAGCACUCCGCCUGGGGAGUACGACCGCAAGGUUAAAACUCAAAUGAAUUGACGGGGACCCGCACAAGCAGUGGAGCAUGUGGUUUAAUUCGAAGAUACGCGCAGAACCUUACCAACGCUUGACAUGUUCGUCGCGACUCUAAGAGAUUAGAGUCUUCGGUUCGGCCGGACGAAACACAGGUGCUGCAUGGCUGUCGUCAGCUCGUGCCG
rnacentral:rRNA from 1 species